rnacentral:rRNA from 1 species
AGCACCUCCCCCCUCCAAACACCACCCCAUCGAUUGCAGCCCAGUCCCGCCAGAACCGCGAGAUCCGAUCCGACCACCGCCAGCAGCAGAUUCGGCGCCACGGCGACGGAGCUCGCCUCUGUCCUCCUCCCCGCCCGCCGUCUCCUCCCGCGGAGGCUGGUUUCAUCCUCCAGGUGCGCGAGCGCUCUCUGUUCGUGAAAUCUUUCUCCCUGCUCGAUCCAUGCCCGGGAGGUGCUCGUCCUUGCCCGCAAGAUCCGUCCGGAGCAGGAUUCCUCUGUGAUCCGGCGCGUCUCGGCCUUCCUCCCCGGAGCCAAGAUCCGGGAUUCCCUUUUCGGUUUCUCUUUCUCGAGCGAGCGCGCGUUCCGCCGGAGCGCCGGGCAUGGCGUACGCGUCGCCGUACGUGCUCUCGUUCCUGCUGCUGCUGUCCAUGCCGGCGGUGUACUACCUCGGCCCGCGCCUGCUGCUGCCCAGGACGCUCCCGGCCAUCCCGGACGCGGACGAGACGGAGGACCUCGCGCUCUUCCGCCGCGCCGUGCUCCUCUCGGCCGCGCCCUCCGCCGGCGCCGGCGCGGCGGCCUCCUCCUUCGGCGUGUUCGGCCGCCGCCCGCAGGCGCCGCGGCCCAAGGUGGCCUUCCUCUUCCUCACCAACUCCGACCUCGUCUUCGCGCCGCUCUGGGAGAAGUUCUUCGCGGGGCACCACGGCCUGCUCAACCUCUACGUCCACGCCGACCCCGCCGCCAACCUCACGCUGCCGCCGACCCCGUCCUUCCGCGGCCGCGUCAUCCGGGGCAAGGCCACGGCGCGCGCCUCCGCCACGCUCAUCUCCGCGGCGCGCCGCCUCCUCGCCACCGCGCUCCUCGACGACCCGGCCAACCGCUUCUUCGCGCUGCUCUCCCAGUCCUGCGUCCCGCUCCUCCCGUUCCCCGCCCUCUACCGCACCCUCCUCACCGACAACAAUGCCGCCGGCGCCGGCCGCCACCGCCGCCACCGCAGCUUCAUUGAGAUCCUGGACAGCGAGCCCACGCUGCACGCCCGCUACUACGCGCGCGGCGACAACGUGAUGCUCCCGGAGGUGCCCUUCGACCGCUUCCGCGUCGGCUCCCAGUUCUUCGUGCUCGCCAGGCGGCACGCCGUCAUGGUGGUCCGGGACCGGCGGCUCUGGAACAAGUUCAAGGCGCCGUGCCUCGUCAAGGAGAAGGACUCGUGCUACCCGGAGGAGCACUACUUCCCGACGCUGCUCGACAUGCAGGACCCCGACGGCUGCACCAAGUACACCCUCACCAGGGUCAACUGGACCGACGCCGUCGGCGGCCACCCGCACACCUACCAGCCGGAGGAGGUCUCCGGGGACCUCAUCAGGGAGCUCAGGAAGUCCAACGGCACCUACUCCCACAUGUUCGCGCGCAAGUUCGCGCCCGAGACCCUUGCGCCGCUCAUGGAGAUCUCCGACUCCGUCAUCCUCCGUGACUAGGCGCGAAGUGUUCGUGGAGAUGAACAGAACAAGGGUUGGUGAUGUGAUGAAGAAGCACAAGCUGAUCCAUCCAUCCCCUUUGUGGUUUCUUCGGAGAGGAGCAAGCAACCAGCACCAAACCCACUUCGCCUUGUUGUUCCGUCGCUGGCCGUCGGCGAAGGGGAUGCUGCUGCUUGCCCAGGCUCAGAGAGUGAUGUGGUGUUGGUGGCGAAGUGCCCCGGCUGCCUCUAUCCUAUGUGAGUAUUUGUUGUUGUGUUUCUUGGUGUUUUUCCUUUCCACUUCGCUCCGAGCAAGAGGAAGUCGUCGGCACGCACGCGGUAGGCGCGCCGCUGGUAGUUAGCACGGACUAUCAUCCUAUGUAUUCACAACGGAGGCAACCUGUCGAUACAUGUAGCGAUGGUUUUUGUAGUGUAUGUUAUCCCCACCAUGUUGUCAUUGUCAAUAUCACACACCUUUUCCUCUAAAUGUAUCAUCAUCUGUAUCAUGGCACCACUAUCUUCUUGCUUCCGGCUUUUAGGUGGCAACCGCACCUGCCUUAGCAUAUACUCCCUCCGUCCGGGUUUAUUAGGCCUAAAGACAACUUUUCUUAGACCAAGACACAUAAUAAUUUGCUCACAUAAAUUCUUCAAUUCCACUCUCAAUGCACUCUCUCACAUGCAUGCAGCCAAUGAAAAAGCACGCAUGAAGUGUAUUAAUUUCCCAUUCAUGGCACCAACAACAAUGGCUUUCAAGGCAACCAAUGAAAUGGUUGCACGCAUGCACCUUUCCAAAGCGAGGCCUUAUAAAAAGGGACAUGCUUGUGAUGCUAAGAGGCCUAAUAAACCCGGACGGAGGGAGUACUCAUAUUCCUAGUUGAUUAAUCCUGAGAGAGCUUACCCGGCAAUCUUACGGCGAAUUGCUGACCAAAACAACAUGCUUUGUCAAGCAGCAUCUAACAACCCACUACAGAAUCAAUCAAGGUUGCGCUAUUACGUCGAUCGACCCGCCGAUCUUGUAACCCCCCCCUUGCAAAGUUUGGGAUAUUUGGAAAAUAUCCCAAAAUAUUUGGAAAGUUUAACUGAAUCUACUUGUUGUGAGGUGUGUUUGGGACCGAAACGGUCGGUGUUAGGGGGUGGUCACUUGCCUGUCCUAUGGAUUUAGGCUAAGGAAAAACGAUUCCUGCACUUUUGUUUUCCCAUGCUUUCCUCUCUUUGUUCCCCCCUUUCCUCUUGUUUCAUUGUCCUUUUGGUUGCUUGCUGGUGAGG